CCUACGGGAGGCAGCAGUGAGGAAUAUUGGUCAAUGGACGGAAGUCUGAACCAGCCAUGCCGCGUGCAGGAAGACGGCUCUAUGAGUUGUAAACUUCUUUUGUACAAGGGUAAACCUGAAUACGUGUAUUCAGCUGAAAGUACUGUACGAAUAAGGAUCGGCUAACUCCGUGCCAGCAGCCGCGGUAAUACGGAGGAUCCAAGCGUUAUCCGGAUUUAUUGGGUUUAAAGGGUGCGUAGGCGGGUUGAUAAGUUAGCGGUGAAAGUUCCGGGCUUAACUCGGGAACUGCCGCUAAUACUGUUUAUCUAGAGAGUAGAUGCGGUAGGCGGAAUGUAUGGUGUAGCGGUGAAAUGCUUAGAGAUCAUACAGAACACCGAUUGCGAAGGCAGCUUACCAAUCUAUAUCUGACGUUGAGGCACGAAAGCGUGGGGAGCAAACAGGAUUAGAUACCCCUGUAGUC
rnacentral:rRNA from 1 species